rnacentral:rRNA from 1 species
GCAAGUCGAGCGGGCGUAGCAAUACGUCAGCGGCAGACGGGUGAGUAACGCGUGGGAACAUACCUUUUGGUUCGGAACAACACAGGGAAACUUGUGCUAAUACCGGAUAAGCCCUUACGGGGAAAGAUUUAUCGCCGAAAGAUUGGCCCGCGUCUGAUUAGCUAGUUGGUGAGGUAAUGGCUCACCAAGGCGACGAUCAGUAGCUGGUCUGAGAGGAUGAUCAGCCACAUUGGGACUGAGACACGGCCCAAACUCCUACGGGAGGCAGCAGUGGGGAAUAUUGGACAAUGGGCGCAAGCCUGAUCCAGCCAUGCCGCGUGAGUGAUGAAGGCCCUAGGGUUGUAAAGCUCUUUUGUGCGGGAAGAUAAUGACGGUACCGCAAGAAUAAGCCCCGGCUAACUUCGUGCCAGCAGCCGCGGUAAUACGAAGGGGGCUAGCGUUGCUCGGAAUCACUGGGCGUAAAGGGUGCGUAGGCGGGUCUUUAAGUCAGGGGUGAAAUCCUGGAGCUCAACUCCAGAACUGCCUUUGAUACUGAAGAUCUUGAGUUCGGGAGAGGUGAGUGGAACUGCGAGUGUAGAGGUGAAAUUCGUAGAUAUUCGCAAGAACACCAGUGGCGAAGGCGGCUCACUGGCCCGAUACUGACGCUGAGGCACGAAAGCGUGGGGAGCAAACAGGAUUAGAUACCCUGGUAGUCCACGCCGUAUACGAUGAAUGCCAGCCGUUAGUGGGUUUACUCACUAGUGGCGCAGCUAACGCUUUAAGCAUUCCGCCUGGGGAGUACGGUCGCAAGAUUAAAACUCAAGGGAAUUGACGGGGGCCGCACAAGCGGGUGGAGCAUGUGGGUUUAAUUC